GUGUGUGUGAUGUGUGGUGUGUAUAUAUAUUUUUUUGAAAUAUAUUUUUUUGACUAUUUUUUUAAAAACUUUUUGUUAGAUUCUAUACCCAUACAC
rnacentral:tRNA from 1 species